GACGAACCGUGCAAACGUUAUUCGGAAUCACUGGGCUUAAAGCGUGCGUAGGCGGCUGAGAAAGUUGGGUGUGAAAUCCCUCGGCUCAACCGAGGAAUUGCGCUCAAAACUACUUGGCUUGAGGGAGUUAGAGGUGAGCGGAACUAAUGGUGGAGCGGUGAAAUGCGUUGAUAUCAUUAGGAACACCGGUGGCGAAAGCGGCUCACUGGGACUCUUCUGACGCUGAGGCACGAAAGCUAGGGGAGCGAACGGGAGUUAGAU
rnacentral:rRNA from 1 species